UAUUUUUGCUUACUGUUUGCUUUUUUUUUUUUUUGUCUUUCUUAUCUACAAAGUGAUCAUAAAAGAGUGAAAUAGGUCAUUUGAUUCAAAUAAGAAUUAUAAUAAUUCUCAACUAACUCUCUUUUUUUUAAAUCACCAGUUUUAUAGAAUUGAAGGUCUACUUGCUCAGCUAUUUUCACUUUAGAUUACAAGAAGUUUAAGCAAACUCCAAUUAUUUUAAAACAUUAAAAUAUUUGAUAUCACUAACUAUACUAAUUAUCAUAGGGGACAAGCAUAGGAGCUCUACCAAUAUGUCGAAGUUCAUAAGGAUAACUUAAAAACAAAAUCGGUUGUAUUCUUGAUUAGAUGACUCGUGUAGAUAUAUUAUUAUUAUUAAAGUUUGAUUUACCCACAAUGUUUUGAUAAUGGAAUGGGUAGAAACCACAAACAAGUAAUCACAAUAUAAAAAGGAAGGUUUUGCUAUUGGAGAAAUAAUAAUAUGAUCAUCCAUUUAAUUUUUCUGGUGAACUAAAUUUUUCCAGUAAGUAAGUUAUGAUCAUGCUUCAUGUUUCUGAUUGCUAUAAUUAGAUUAUAUAGACCUCCUUUUGAAGUUUGUAACCUGCAUGGCAAUUUUCAUGUUUACCUUAAUAUCAAGUUAAAUGGUCUAUGCCCUGCUCGAGUGCAAUUAUCUGACCACCAACCAUAUGAAUAGUCUUCAUUUACUUACUUUAGCCUUCUAUGUCUAUAAACUAUUGAUUUGUCAAAGAGCAUCUGAUCGAGUAUUAUUGUUAAUGUUAUUUAAAGGAAGCACUAUAUUUGCUAUAAUUAUUGUUUUUUUUUUACCUUAAAACCUUUGAUGAUGUGUUAGUGAUUGAUCUACUGGAUCAAUAAAGAUUGACCUUGGAGCACCAAGGCACCAUACGCAAUCUUUCUGUUCUAUUAUUAAUGUGCCUCAAAUCCACGACACUUAGAUUAUGAUAAAGUAACAAGGGUGAGAUUUUGACUAUAUGAACAAGAUUGUUGACCAAAGAUAUGGGCGGGCUAUAUGAUAUCUGGCAGGAAAUGUUGGUGUUCUUCAAGGCGCAGAAAGGUUUGACCGCAUUAGAGGAUACAAAUUUCAACCUAUGUACAAUAUUGGAUCAAGAAAUCAUUGUUAAUGUUUUUGUCUCGGCAUUCUAGAAAGAUACGUAUGCCUAUAUGUACUUGCUUUACUACCGAGUGACUUAUGUUCAUCAUUUUAUAUUCCUUUUUUAUGACAUUAUGAUUUUUUUUUGCUUCGGUUAUGAAUUUAAAUAAGAUAAAGAAACCCCCCGAAAAGCACUAGGUAAAGGUGAUGGAAGAUGCCCUGAUGACUGUGAGAUUGCCAAAGUCAGUGGUCUUUCAUUGGCUUAGAUUGAAUCAGCUACCAAAUGCUUGUCAGUAAUAUCAAUCAGACAAAUGCAAAGUUAGUUUUGGACUGUUGUACUCAGUUUCGUGAUAGUGCUAUGGGAGAUUCUAACGGGCGAAGUUAGUGUCUUUAUAAAUACCCCAGCAUAGAUACAUACGAGAAGUCGAAACGACUUAAUCUUUUCUUGGUAAAAGAGUAGCGGCUGAAAGCAUAUUCGUUGAAGUCCAAGCAACUUCCUUUUGUGUGGGCGUUUGAAGACGUCUUAUGAGGGUUCCAGUUGGAUCAUGUCUGGGAGUUUGAAGAUGGAUGAUGUUGUUGCUGCAUGGAAGAUGGCUGAUAGGGUUUGAAAGACAUAAAGAUUUAUGCAUGAUGUCUGAACUUAUUAUUUGUUUUAUUCAUACAUAUAUAAUAGAUUUAUGUAUGAUGUCCUAUUAAAGUUUAUUACGUCAUAAUAAAAGGGUUGUAGCAGAAAAUUUUGAUUUUUUAUUAUCAACAUAGAGAUUACAUUUUU